CAGUCUUUGCUCCCUUCUGUGCUCCCAGCCCUUGUGUGUUGUCUGCAGCACCCUGCUCCAAGAGACAUCCUCUGGGGCUGCAGCAGCCGUGAGCAAGCACAGCCCCAUCAGUCUAAACAGAGGCACCUGGCUGCUCCAGCUCUGGGGCCAGCUUUGCAAAGAUGUCAGCAGCUUAAAGAUGUUGAUGGAGUUAAUAGGAAUUAGGCACCUAACCUACUUAGAUGCUGCUAUAAAUGCUGCUAGUCAUGUUUAGGUACCUAAAUACCUUAGUAAAUCUUUCCCCUUACUGCCUGCAAUGAUAGUGCACCAAAAAUCAAAUACUAAUGAAGAAAGCCUGCCCUUUGUCCUCUGUAACCAGCUUUGCCUUUCUCUGGGGAUUGUUUUCAUGUAAUACUAAAAAUACUAGCUGUCUCGCAGGCUGUGCCAUCCAGAUCCUUUUCACAUUUUUGGUGGCUUGAUUAUUUGUUGCUUAUUCCAGGCAGUAGCUGAUUUUGCCACAGAUCUAAUAGUUUGAUACUCUUGCAACAUUCUUUUGAGAUAAAUUAUUUUACUACGAGGUAGAAGUGUUGAACUCUCUUCCCAGAAAGAUGCAAGGUGUGUAUUACUCCAUAUUAAGUCAUAUGGUUGAAAAAAUAUGGAAUGGGCCCAAACCGGUUACAAAUAGAGCCUGUUGUUUCCAAAUAUUAGGAUGGGAAGUUGAAAUCUAAUAACUAAUACUGAUUUUCCUCUCCCGCUCACAGUUACUCCUUCUUGGGAUUAUUCUGGGAGGUUUGCACAUUCCCUGCAGAUUUUGUCCCUGAAGCCACAAGGCCAUCUCUGGUCUUCUGUUUCUGAUAAAGAUCUCUAUUUACAGCUUCCAGGAUUAUCUGAGAGUAAAUAUGUACAGGGUUAACUCCUCUCUGAGCAUAUUUUCUUGAAGUAGGGCAUAUAUGUCUUUUAUGUUCGGCUGUUCUCAGCAUGACAGAAAGGACGGUGAUCUGGUUUGUAGUUACAGCAGCUUCACUGCAGAAACUGCUCUACAGUUAGUUUUUUUUCGUGGCCUUAUGUACAGGAAUUCUUAAUGGGAAAAAAAAAUCUAUAAUUCAUGAAGAAAAUGGGUUUAGGCUGGAUUUCUUUGUUAUUUGAAGACAAGGAAGAAUUUAGUUCAGCACCUUUUCCAAACCAUACAUAAACUGUGUUCUCCCUUCAAAUUAUAAAGGACAUUACAGUAUUGAACUGCAACUAUAUGAUGACUUACUAUUCACUGGGGGCUGCAAACGAAGGGAAGUUGCAGGGUGAUCAUGUCAAAAGGGAAAGGCUCACUGGGCUCAGCGAGGAGGAAUCCAGCUUCUCAAGAAAGUCACAGAAGCAGAAGCCUGUCGUUACCUGGAAAAUGCAGCUGUACAAAACAGGAAAUACUGUUGUCUUUGAAGGGAAAGGUUUGAAUCAGAGUUGUGAGGAGUGUUUUCUUCUACCAGUAUCCAAGCUUUUGUUCAUUUUCCUGCCCAGAGUUUGCAGGGUCAGAGUACUGCAGGAGCUGGUGGUCUCUGUAACUGCUGCAGACCCAUAGAGCCUCCAGCCAGCCUGUCCCAGCAGCAUCACAGCUGAGACAAGAAACACCUUUGGGCAGGUCCCUGCAGUAAAUGAUAUAAGAAAACAAAAAUCAGCAGUAAAUGCACACCAAGUGGGAAGUCCCGUGGCUGGCUGAAGAUAACGGAAAAGCCUGUUUCACUGCUGUGCUCAGAGAUUUUGCUACAAAGCUCUGGCGUUUAUUUCAGUCAAGGUUUGUUAUCAUUGCUUGUCCUGACUGUCACCUAUACACAAAUUAACCUACUCACAAGUGAAUACAGUGUCAGGGAAGUAAGGGAAAAGGCCUCUAACUUCAGCAUGUUCAGAAAAUAUAGUUUCCCUCUUACAAGAAAACUGCUUAGCCUGCAGGAAUGAAGUUUUGCCACAGCACAGGAGGGUUCUACAAGAGGACUCCCCCAGGUGAGGGACAAUACUUUGCACAGAGGUGAGCAGCACAGCAGGGUAAUUAGCUGUGUGGUUUCUGCUGUGGCUGGGAGAAAUGGCCGCUCUCCAAGUAUGGAGAAAUUGUGGCUGCUACAGCCAAAUUGGAAUGGCAAGUUGGGGCACUGGGUGCAGCUGGGAGUGCAGACUGUGGGAUGCAGCCCUGUGGUCAGGGCAUCUCAUCCUUGAACCCACAGCACAUGAGGUCUGGUUCCUGGAGAGGAACAUUACCAGGUACAUUCCUCCUUGCUCUAACACCUUUCAGCUUAUCGUAGUGGAGAGUGCUCAUUCCAAAAAAAAGCAUAGGUAGUGACAGGUUCUGAUUCUGGGUGGGAGCGUUAAAUGAGUAGAGGUGAGCAGAGAUACCACAGAAAUGCUUCUAAUUCCUUAUUAACACCGAGAGCACUGCCCAGCCUCCUGGACACUUUCAGUACUGACUGCCUUUAGUAGUUAUUCACGGUACUGAUACCAAUGCAACAUCUAUCUGCAGCUCUCAAUUUUCCCUGUCACCUACCAUGUUUUCAAGGGAAAAACUGCAUCUCUGGCACCUCCCGAACAGGAAAAUUGAGUCUGCGGUAAUCCCAAGUAUCUGUGAUAAGAAGCUCGGCUCUGCCAUGAAGGCCGAAGGUUUUGAGAGCAGGGAAGGACAGCGAGUCAGCUGGAUGUACGUGCAUUAUGCCAUGUCCCUGCCAGGGCUGGAGCCUAAUUGGAUUGCACAAAUGCGACUUCUGUGUCUCUUGAUCACAAAACCAAAUUAAACCUCAAGAACUUUCAAACAAAUCCCUACCUGAAAGUUUGCCUUGAAAAGAAAGUGCUGAUAGCUGGUAUCAUUUCAGCUUUUCCUCUCCCCCAGAAUGAGAGUAAAAUGAAAACUCCAAACUAAAACUAUUGCUUUAAGGCAAAUCAGAAGAGAAGCAAAGCAAAGCACGAGCAGCAAAUCUACAGAACUCCUGGGUGCACUGAACAAAAUCAGCCGUGUGGUAAUGAUGGGAUUUUCUAGAAGACCUUUUAGGCAUGCAACUUCUGUAUUAAUCUAUUCAGAAUUCCCUAGAACAUCUGUUUCUUCUCUAAAAUGAGAAUAACAGCCACUUUUUACAGUGCAAUGACAGCUACAGAUGAAAGCAUGGUAAUUACCACUAGUGACUGCUGCCUAACAUAUUUUCUUGCAAGUUUCUCUGUCAAGACUUUUUUUUUUUAAUCUACAUGCGGAUUCUGGAUAAGAACCUCAGCCAUGAUAGCCCCAGUUCAUGCAAUUUUGGGAGGGAGGGGGGAUUAACAGUGAAGCCUCUUGAAUCCAGGUCACAAGUAGGCUCCCCCUGUCCAGAUGUUUGUGCGUGAUUCAGGGUGCAGAGAAGAUGAUGGCUGCUGGCAGGCUGCCCCUGGGGCCACCCCGGCAGUGGCUCAGGGUCUCCAGGGUAGCCUCUGCUGCAUUCACAGCAAGGCCAGGACUCGUGAGGACACCCCAGUUCCUCUGCAGUGUGAGGCAAGGAAACGUUGCCCUCAUUGUGCAAACAGCAAGGCACAUGAAGUCACUAAACCUGAUUAGUUUGGUAUGAUCCCAGCGUUCAGGCAAAAGCUUGCCUCUUGAAUAACCAUGUGAGCACACCACUGCGGGUUCACUUGGCACCAGGCUGUUCUGAUCUUUAUGCAGCCACAUGAGCAGCUGUAAGACAGGGCCCAAAAAGCCAAGGGACAGGGAAACAUGGAAAACUUUCAGCAGAGCAAAAUCCUGCUGUAGGAAACCUGGCUGACAUCUCUGUGUGCAGCAGGGAAUGGCAGCUAUUGGAGCAGAAAGAAACCCCACGCCUGAAUGAAAGCGAAGAGACCUCGGGGAGGCCCCAGCUCUGGGUGUGCAGGGCCAACAGGGCUGGGCUGUUGGGGGCCACAUGGAGCUCGGUGCCACGUUCUCCUGCCAGGGCCCAACAGCUCCUGCCCUGCAGCACCCACCGCCUGGAGACAAGAGAAAUCAGACAGCAUUUUGUAAUUUUGAGAGGAACUCCUCCAAAUAUUGGGAAAAAAAUCACACCUCCUGUUACCUAGCAUAAAAAUGGAAAGCUUAAAAUUAUCUUUUUUUUCGGCAGUUGAUUUGUAGAUUCUCAUUGGUGCUGUCUGUGCUGAUUCCCAGUCAUAAGGCUGUCUCUGAGUGCUGAAAUAUGUGCUCUCUGAAUGAACCAAAAGUGCAAAGUUUUGCAUUUGUAACUGCAACGUGUGUUAGAGCUACAAAAUCCUAGCCCAGAAACUCAUGCGUAUUUUACUUCCUAUUAAAAUUUACAAGCAACUUUAGAGGACAGGAAAGUUCAUAUUUAUAAUAAAGCCAGCAUUACCUUUUCAGAAAAGACGGAUCCUUUUCUGACAUGUAUGGCAGAAACACAGUGUUUCCACAGAUGUCUUUGAUUUUAAAAACCAGUCUGCGUGGCAGUGAGGUACGGUACCAGAGAAACUUCAACAGCCCAGUGAGAGUGAACUGUUUCAGCAGAGAUUACUUAUGAGCUACUAAUCUUACCAUAAUCUUGCUUUUGACUGGCUUCCAGAGGACCUUGGUGCAACUCAUAAGUAAACCGUGCUUACCUACCAGUAACCCCAAGCAAUCAGUGCUUUCUUACGGGCAGCAUCCUGCACAGAUUUCCUGUUCAAGCCGUCUGACACACAGCCUAGGGAGUGCUUCCACCUCCCUCUGAUGGGCUGAGGAUGGCUCAGCCCUGGAGAAGUGUUCGAUGCCUGGCAGGAUUGAACCCUCUUGCCCUGGCAGACCUCUUGGAUCAGGUUUCCUGCAAGGAGCAGUUAUCAGACAAUUUGUCUGUGCUAGCAAAGUGCAGCAACCUGUAGCAUCCAAGAUCAAUACCAGCUCAGGUGCUAAGCAGCUGCCAUCUCCCAGCCUCUGAACCACGCAUUAACAGGGCUUGAGAGAGCAACAAGAGGGUGCUUGUGUGAGGUGCAGGCAAAUAUAAUGUACUGCUGCAGAGCUCGUUGCUAGAAACGUGUACCCGGCUGAUGUGUCCAGCUUGCAAUCUGUCCGUGUCACAACAGAGCUCGUUACCUUAUUUAUAAAUGAAAUUAUAUAGCUAACUCCUGUAAGUAUUCACCUGGGCUACACGUUACUCUCGAGAUCUUCCUGCACCUUUCAGAGCUGUGGCAUGCUUCUACCCACCCUGUUAGGAUCUCCUUCUUGAUGGGCCCUGUAGCUCUAGGGAAAGCCAUAGCAGGUGUAUGUUACUGCUCUGCAUCCCCCUCCGUAAGUGCCUAGUACCUCCUAAAUGCACUUGUGCGAGUUCCCACACAAGCUUUCUGGAUCUAGUGUCCUUUCAAAAUUAUCACCUGCAUUCCUCAGUGGCAGCCUCAUUCCUGCAGGUCAAGAUCCAUUCUUCCUUGACUGUAAUUUGAUGCUCUGGCCCUGUCACCUGAUAUGAAAAAUCUGGGCUUUGCUUCCAUUCUGGUUUCCAAAAGUCUUUCUCACUUACAGACAGUUUUGUUUCCUAGUCUCUAAGGUUGAAACCCCAGUGUAACGGACUAUAAGCAGACCAAGGAUGACCCCAUUUCUUAAACCUAUGACCAGGGCACAGGAUGCAGAUAGCACUGAGAGCCCAUGGAUGCCCAGGUCUAAAGCCUACUGCUCAAGUAAAUUUCAAAUAAUGAGACAAUAUGGCACUGCUUACAGAAGGGACAGCUUUUCCAAGGAAGAACUCACAUAAUAUAACAGUUGGCAAGUCAGUUAGAUAAUGACCAAGAAAAAAAUAAUGGUGUUGGAUGUCUGAGCAAAAUACAGAAAUAUUCUAAAAAGCUUGACUAGAAGCUUGCACCAGUGGGAUUUUUGCUGCUGUUACAUGGAGGCUUUGCGGCCAUGGAGACAUCUCAAGUGCCCUUUGGCUUUGGUUCUGGCCAGGACAAGGGAAGAAGAGUCUGAAGAAGCAGAACAGGCAACACCGGGUCCUACAGGUGCCAGCACAAAGUGUUGUGACAAGCUGAGUGUACGGAGUGUACCUAAUGGAGUUACCGGGUGAAACCCUGUAUCCAUGGUAUCUACAGAGGUGACUCAUGUCACCGCUACAAAUUCUAACUUGCUUGCAGAGAAUACAUCCUAGUAAAAUCUGCAUUUGUACUGCACUUGCACAGCAGGCUUGUGCUGAGAUUCCAUUUGUUCCAAAUGCUAAUGCACACAGCCAUGGUUCAGAGGAGGCCAAGGUGUAAAACAACUUCGGCCCAAGAAAAGCUGUGCUGGGCGUGCUCUGCCUCUCCUGUUCUCUGCUGGAAGCACUUGGGGCUGAGCACCAGGCACCAUACCCCUGGCAGCACGCAGCCCUCCCUGGGCUGGGCAUAAUCAGGUGUUGCUGGCUGUGCAUCAGAUCAAUACAGGAGCCUCUCCAUGUACAUCUUCAAGAGCUUAAUGCAGUAACUGCAAUUCAAAGCAUUUGCUCCACACAGAACUGAGUAGCUGAACCCUCUCUGACAUCGUUAAUGCUUUCAGCUGUUAGGAAUAUAGUGAUGCCACCUGGAAAGAAAUGUAGCUGCAAAUGGGAUAGCCAUUAAAUAGCUGCAUGCCAGCUUAUGUGGCUCUUUCCUGGGAAGCAAGAAUGUUGUAGCAGAGAAGCUGAAAGUUCCUAGAAGAAACAACAGCCGACGUAAGAUAAGUCAGCCCAGGAGGGAACCGUCAUAAGCCAUUUAAGGGAAAAUACAGGAGGACAUCUUUAUUUCCUUGCAUGUGUGCUGUCAGAUGGCUGGAGAUGCGAGUAAUUCAUCCACUCUUCUAAAAGAAUGUAUGGGCAGCAGGACUUCUGCAGGGGGCUGCUGACUGUAGCCGAAGGGAGAGGUAGAAGGACUCGUGGUGCCCGGCAUCUGCUCCUUGCACUCAGCACGAUUCCUGGUGUGCUGCUGCUCCAUCCUGCGUCACAGCAAGCAGCAGCCCUGGAUGCUGCUGAGGCAGAGCCAACAACUGAUUAUGGGAAAAUACCUCCUCUUCUUUUGAUAAACACUGAAGCAUAUGACUGAAACACAGAUAUUGGAUGCUCAGCGAGUAUCAGUAAAACCGAUUCUAUGUUUGGAAAUACAUUUAAAAAAUCCAAGUUACUAAUACUCUUUUUUUUCAAGCCCUUUUAAACUGUAAUCUUUAGUGAUCUAAUCAGAAUUGCUCUGUCAAAUAAAGUAUGGUGAUACAUGCACAGGA